UGAGGAAUCUUGCGCAAUGGGGGAAACCCUGACGCAGCAACGCCGCGUGAGUGAGGAAGGUCUUCGGAUCGUAAAGCUCUGUCAGUUGGGAAGAAACGCCUGAGGGUUAAUACCCUUCAGGCCUGACGGUAUCAACAGAGGAAGCACCGGCUAACUCCGUGCCAGCAGCCGCGGUAAUACGGGGGGUGCAAGCGUUGUUCGGAGUUAUUGGGCGUAAAGAGCGUGUAGGCGGCCGGAUGUGUCAGAGGUGAAAGCCCUGGGCUUAACCCAGGAAGUGCAUUUGAAAC
rnacentral:rRNA from 1 species